rnacentral:rRNA from 1 species
UACGGAGGAGGCAAGCGUUAUCCGGAAUUAUUGGGCGUAAAGCGUCCGUAGGUGGCUCUUCAAGUCUGCUGUCAAAGAGUGGGGCUUAACCCUGCAAAGGCAGUGGAAACUGAAAGGCUAAAGAGCGUACGGGUAGGAGGAAGAUUCCCGGUGUAGCGGUGAAAUGCGUAGAGAUCGGGAAGAACAUCGGUGGCGAAAGCGCUCUACUGGACGGUAUCUGACACUGAGGGACGAAAGCUAGGGGAGCGAAUGGG